rnacentral:rRNA from 1 species
UACGAAGGUCCCAAGCGUUGUCGGAAUCACUGGGCGUAAAGGGAGCGUAGGCGGCGUGGUAAGUCAGAUGUGAAAUCCCGGGGCUCAACCCCGGAACUGCAUCCGAUACUGCCAUGCUAGAGGAUUGGAGAGGUAGCUGGAAUUCUUGGUGUAGCAGUGAAAUGCGUAGAGAUCAAGAGGAACACUCGUGGCGAAAGCGAGCUACUGGACAAUUCCUGACGCUGAGGCUCGAAGGCUAGGGUAGCGAAAGGG